rnacentral:misc_RNA from 1 species
UCCUCUUCGGACUCUAUCACCGCCUGAUUCGUCCCAGCCGCGGCUAGAGACACUUCGAUCAUCUGAGGAACGCCUGGUCAUGACCGAUGAGACCAACGGACAGGGACUCAAUGGGGACAUUGCCGUCGGCGUCGACAUUGGGGGGACCAAGACCGCCCUGUUGGCAUGGUCGUGCGCGACGCAGGCGAUCCUCGCCCAGGACGCCUUUGCCACCCCCACCGAGAUCGGGCCGGAAGCCAUGGUCGAUCGCAUGGUGGAGGCGAUCGAUAGCCUGCUAGCCGGUUGCGGACGAAAUCGCACCGAUCUGCGGGGGAUUGGAGUUGCCGUCCCUGGUCUAGUCGAUGCUUCAUCGGGGAUUGUUCUCACUG